UGGAGGACGAUGUGGGUGGGACAGGACUGUUUAGUUGCUAAAGACAUUCUCAUUUCCCUCCUUCAGUGUCCCCAGACGGUGA
rnacentral:miRNA from 14 species